AUGCAGUUUCGGCAGCCGAAGGAAAGGCGGUUGGCCACCUAUUUAAGCCCCUUUGACCGGCCAUGGAGGGUGUUGGAAGCUCUCUUGGUAGUCAAAGGUGAGGUUAUGCUCUCCUUGGAUGUUUUCAUGGUGUUUUCCUCAAAUCUUGUAAGGUUUUCAUGAGUUUUUACUUGGGUUUGAAGGUUGUGACGCAAAAGAGGAAGUUGUGGAGCGUGAAGCUUGAGGAGCUUGGUUUCUCCAUGUUUUGAAGCUAGGAUCACACCAGCCAAGAGGUAAGUGUUGAUCCUUAUGUUUUAUAGUGUUUUAAGCACGUUUUAUG
rnacentral:lncRNA from 1 species